ACACAGCCUGAGUCAAUGAGCAACCAAGAAAGCUCAUGGCUUAGGCCAAUAAUUGUCAUUGCAUUUUAGAGAGGACCGAUAUCUAAGGUAUCCCUAAGAAGGAUAUCGUAGGUCAUACUUUAUGGGAGUGUUUUUCAAUUUCAAUUCUAAUAUU